UCGUUCUUAACGGAUGAAACCAAUACGGAUGUAAAAGUCCAAGGACUUACUGUCCGAGAGCGCAUAAACCUCAUGUGGAUCUUUCCGUUGCCUUCCUUCUGACCUUCUCC
rnacentral:snoRNA from 1 species